UUGGCGUCUGUCACAGAACAAAGCAGGGC
rnacentral:piRNA from 1 species